AGUGAGCGCUGGCGGUAGGCCUAACACAUGCAAGUCGAACGGAAGCACAGUAAGAGCUUGCUCUUACGGGUGGCGAGUGGCGGACGGGUGAGGAAUACAUCGGAAUCUACUUUUUCGUGGGGGAUAACGUAGGGAAACUUCCGCUAAUACCUCAUACGACCUACGGGUGAAAGCAGGAGAUCUUCGGACCUUGCGCGAUUGAAUGAGCCGAUGUCGGAUUAGCUAGUUGGCGGGGUAAAGGCCCACCAAGGCGACGAUCCGUAGCUGGUCUGAGAGGAUGAUCAGCCACACUGGAACUGAGACACGGUCCAGACUCCUACGGGAGGCAGCAGUGGGGAAUAUUGGACAAUGGGCGCAAGCCUGAUCCAGCCAUACCGCGUGGGUGAAGAAGGCCUUCGGGUUGUAAAGCCCUUUUGUUGGGAAAGAAAAGCAGCAGGUUAAUACCCCGCUGUUCUGACGGUACCCAAAGAAUAAGCACCGGCUAACUUCGUG
rnacentral:rRNA from 1 species